rnacentral:rRNA from 1 species
GACAGAGGGUGCAAACGUUGUUCGGAUUUACUGGGCGUAAAGCGCGUGUAGGCGGCUUUUGCAAGUCGGAUGUGAAAGCCCACGGCUCAACCGUGGAAGUGCAUCCGAAACUGCAUGGCUUGAGUCUCGGAGAGGAAGGUGGAAUGCUUGGUGUAGAGGUGAAAUUCGUAGAUAUCAAGCAGAACACCUGCGGCGAAGGCGGCCUUCUGGACGAUGACUGACGCUGAGACGCGAAAGCGUGGGGAGCAAACAGG